AAUGAGCUUUAACUGGUUUGCAGCCAGCUUCCUGUUUAAUGGACUGAGCCUAAAUAUAGGGAGUUUCGGCCUAAAUAUCUACCUCACUCAGCUCAUCUUUGGCACUGUUGAAAUUCCUGCCAAUGUGGCUUGUUUGACUAUGAUUCAACGUUUUGGGAGGAGAAUAUGUCAGGCAGGCUUCCUUUUCCUUGGAGGAGUCUCUUGUUUGGUUGCCACUGCUGUCCCAAGAGCUCUACCUGUGGUUGUGACAGUCAUUGCUAUGAUGGGAAAAUUUUCUGCUGCUGCUGCCUUCAGUACAAUCUAUGUCUAUACAGCUGAAUUAUAUCCUACUGAUAUAAGGUAUUAC